rnacentral:misc_RNA from 1 species
UUCAGUUUCUUCAAGAAGAUUUGUGUGCUCAAAGGAGGGUUUCCAGCUUAAUUCAAGGACAGGUUGUCCAGCAUUCAUAAGGGUGCAAAGACGUGACUCUGGAAAAUGGGUGAUUGAUCAAAUCCAUAAGGACCACAAUCAUGAACUUGGACUUGUGGAUGAAAGUCAUCCACCUAUUUUGCAGCAGAGAACUCCUAAAGCUAAGAAAUCAUCAGCUGAGGUGUCUCAAAGGCCAAAAUUCAAACCCACUGAUGUGUCUCAAAGGCCAAAAUUCAAACUGAUUGAGGAUGUUGAUAAUGAGAGGCCAUGCCCAUCUGGCA